GACGAACGCUGGCGGCGUGCUUAACACAUGCAAGUCGAACGGAAAGGCACUGCUUUUGUGGGGUGCUCGAGUGGCGAACGGGUGAGUAACACGUGAGUAACCUGCCCUUGACUUUGGGAUAACUUCAGGAAACUGGGGCUAAUACCGGAUAGGAGCUCCUGCUGCAUGGUGGGGGUUGGAUCGUUUCGGCGGUUGGGGAUGGACGCGCGGGUAAUCAGCUUGUUGGUGGGGUAGUGGCUUACCAAGGCUUUGACCGGUAGCCGGCAUGAGAGGGUGACCGGCCACAUUAGGACUAAGAGACGGCCCAGACUCCUACGGGAGGCAGCAGGGGGGAAUAUUGCACAAUGGGCGGAAGCCGGAUGCAGCAACGCCGCGUGCGGGAUGACGGCCUUCGGGGUGUAAACCGCUUUCGCCUGUGACGAAGCGGGAGUGACGGUAAUGGGUAAAGAAGCACCGGCUAACUACGUG
rnacentral:rRNA from 1 species